rnacentral:rRNA from 1 species
UACAGAGGGGGCUAGCGUUAUUCGGAAUUAUUGGGCGUAAAGGGCGCGUAGGCGGCCAUGCGUGUCUUCCGUGAAAUCCCUCGGCUUAACUGAGGACGUGCGGAAGAAACUGCAAGGCUCGAGUCCGGGAGAGGGGGGUGGAAUUCCCAGUGUAGCGGUGAAAUGCGUAGAUAUUGGGAGGAACACCAGUGGCGAAGGCGGCGACCUGGGCCAAUAUUGACGCUGAGGUGCGAAAGCGUGGGGAGCAAACAGG